rnacentral:piRNA from 1 species
UACAAACCACGAUACCCCUCUUUCAUGAAA